GCUGGCGUAGCUCAGUUGGUCAGAGCGGCACUUUCGUAAAGUGUAGGUCGUCGGUUCGACUCCGACCGCCAGCU
rnacentral:tRNA from 1 species